rnacentral:lncRNA from 1 species
UCAUGCAGAAGCUUUAGAAGAUUCUUAUUUAAAUUUCGCAGUAAAAGUGUUGAAAUAUUUUUGGCCUAAUUUUAAAUACAAAUUUGGUACUGAAGAAUUUGCUAUAAAUGAAUAUAACAUUAUGCGUAUUUUAUUUCAUCCAAAUGUUGUUGGUUUAAUUGAUAGUUUUAGAGUUCAUACCUUUCGAAAAUUUAACGCAAAAAGUCAAAGAACUCAAAAACUUAAUUACAAAAAUCGAUCAGUAACGUAUGAUUUUAGUAUUCAACGAAAUAAUCAAGAAGAACGUAUAUCUUUUAAUCCAUCAAGCAUUAGUAUCCAAAGAAAUAGCACAUAUGACACAUUAAUUAACAACAGUGGUAUUACUGUGGAAGAAUUAGAAAAAGAAUUAGUUUUAAAUGAUAAAGAUUAUAUUUGGAAUACUAUACAAAAGAAUAAAACAAAUGUUUCUAAUGAUCCUAAUGACCCUAAUAGUAAUAAAAAAAACUCUUGUAAUUUAAAAGAAUGUUCUAUUUUGUCUAAAAAUGAUACAACGUACGGACAUAAUAAUAUAAGUUCACGAAAUUUAAUCGGUUGUAUCAAAAAUAAUACGUCUAGUAGUACUUCAACCAAUCUACAUCGUAAUAAGUCACAAUAUGAGAAUACUAGAUUACAUGUAUCCACUAAAGAAGAAAAAAAAAAAUAUAUAAAUCUAAAUAAAUCUUAUCAUUUAAGGAAAAAUACGAAAAAUGUAACACAUUAUAAAAAUGAAGCAUCUAAAAUUCAAUUAAAAAAUGUAACAAAUAAAUAUAUUGAUAAAUUAAAAUUCCGAAAAUUUUCAAAUAAUUAUAAAAAAAUCGAAAAUAAUAGUGAUGAAUUUUUAGAAAAUUGGAAUUUAUUUUUAGUAAUAGAAAAAUGUGAUUAUAGUUUAAAUGAGAUUUUGAAUAAAUUUAAAGCUAAAAAUUUAAAUUUUCAACAAUGUAUAAAAAAAGAUGCAUCUGAACAUGUAGCAAAAUAUAACGUAGAGCUUGUAGUUGAUUAUAUGUUUAAUUAUG